rnacentral:rRNA from 1 species
UACGUAGGUGGCAAGCGUUGUCCGGAUUUACUGGGCGUAAAGAGCGCGCAGGCGGUCGAGUAAGUCGAAUGUGAAAGCCCCCGGCUUAACUGGGGAGGGUCAUUCGAUACUGUUCGACUUGAAGGCAGGAGAGGGCAGCAGAAUUCCCGGUGUAGUGGUGAAAUGCGUAGAUAUCGGGAGGAACACCGGCGGCGAAGGCGGCUGCCUGGACCGGCCCUGACGCUGAGGCGCGAAAGCUAGGGGAGCAAACAGG